GGAGGUAGAGCUCACUGGUAGAGCACAUUCCUAGCAUGCAUGAGGUCUUGAGUUCAACUCCCAGUACCUUCA
rnacentral:tRNA from 1 species